CGCGGCUCCGGAGGCGAUUAAGGUUGAGAAGAACGUCACUGGCAUGGCGGGUGAACUGGAUACAGCUGUCAGCCGGCGAGGCCAUUUUGUCUUCACCUGAGCAAAAGAUGCCAAAGUCCUAUUAGUCCUCAGAAACCGUCCUUACCAGGAGGACAAAGCAUGUGGCAUAGGCUGCUAAGGCUGCUGAGUCUUACCAAGGGAGCACUCUAAAAUGAGAAGUUUCUUUGAGUAUGUAACCAAACACACCGACAUUUCUCCGUGGUCAAAAGGGUCAAUCGCACAAUCUCAUUGGUUUCAAGGUUAGUGUGUGCAUGUGAGUGAAUCAGGACGGGGAGAAAGACAUGGCACAAGAGGCUGCCUCCUCCUCUCCCCAUCCUAAUUCAAGAUGGAGUGAGAGAGAGCGAGAGCCACUAGUAUUACGGUCCUAACCAGAGCUCCUUGAUCAUCUCUUUUGAAAAAGAAUGUUGAAGGACCCAUAAAGUUUAUUUAGAAACUCUCUCCUCUUCCUUCAUGGAAGAGGUCCUCAAACAUUUCUGGAAAACCCAGGCUUUCCUUCAACCAGCUUUCAACCACCAGCUGUCUUGUGGAUUUCCAGUUCCAGACUUUUGGAACCACAGGAAGCCGAGAUUUGCCAUUUCACCAUGACAAGUGGCAAUGACUCAUUCCAGACACAGAUUGAAACAAACAAAAACAGUUCCCCUGUGUCCACUGUGAGCUCAGAUUUGGGCUUUCCACCGUAAGCCUCUCCUUGGCCUGGAUUUUUAAAAAUCGCAAUGCAGUGGACUGCAUCCUUACGAAAUUCACGACUUUGUGAACUCCCCCUGAGUGUUACAGGGUGGAAGAACCCCCUAGAAUUUGGUGUGGAUUCUUCUCUUUUUACAGACCACUGACCUUUCCCAUCCAUUAGCGUAUCUUGCUAACAGCCCUGAUUUACUGUGGAGGAUACUGGGAAUAAACCUUGCCCAGUGUGCAACAAAAUCUUGGACAAACCUCAUCUACCAGCAGGGGUCCUAUCAAUGUCACUCACAAGACUCAACCCACAAAGCCAUAACUCAGAAACUUAAAAAACUCCCCCCCAAACAAACAAACAAACAA